rnacentral:rRNA from 1 species
AUUCCAGCUCCAGUAGCGUAUAUUAAAGUUGUUGCAGUUAAAAAGCUCGUAGUUGGAUUUCUGGCUUUAUAGAACUGACCCGCCACGUUAGUGUGUGAGUGUCGGCUUCUAUAUGCCAUCCUUCCACAGAACGUUUCUACUCUUGAUUGAGCCGGAUUCGCAAUGUGGAACUUUUACUUUGAAAAAAUUAGAGUGUUCAAAGCAGGCUUACGCUAUGAAUACAUUAGCAUGGAAUAAUAAUCUAGGACUUUGGUUCUAUUUUGUUGGUUUCUAGAACUGGAGUAAUGAUUGAUAGGGAUAGUUGGGGGUGCUAGUAUUCAGCGGCCAGAGGUGAAAUUCUUGGAUUCGCUGAAGACUAACUUAUGCGAAAGCAUUCACCAAGGAUGUCUUCAUCA